UACGAAGGGGGCUAGCGUUGUUCGGAAUCACUGGGCGUAAAGCGCACGUAGGCGGAUCUUUAAGUCAGGGGUGAAAUCCCGAGGCUCAACCUCGGAACUGCCUUUGAUACUGGGGAUCUCGAGUCCGGGAGAGGUGAGUGGAACUGCGAGUGUAGAGGUGAAAUUCGUAGAUAUUCGCGAGAACACCAGUGGCGAAGGCGGCUCACUGGCCCGGAACUGACGCUGAGGUGCGAAAGCGUGGGGAGCAAACAGG
rnacentral:rRNA from 1 species